UAAUGAUAUACCAAAGUGGAUGAUUGACUCAAGUUGAAGUACAAAAAAAGAAAAAUGAAACAAGAAGAGACAAAGAGAGUCUCUCACGAAAGCAGAGGGUUCGAAUCCAAAUAGAAACGUUGGCUAAAAGGCCUAAACCCACGCCAUCAAGCAAUCAUUUUCAUCUUCCUUAUUUUCCUCUUGAUCAUACAAUGUACAUUUACUUAUUGGACAUAGAUACAAAGAACAUGCGAAUUCAUGAUUUGGAGAUUAACUAGAAUAAUAGAUAAUAUAAAAAUUAGCCAAUUAACUCAUGUGUCUUCCUUCAUCAACGCCUUGUGUUCCUAGAGAUUUGAGUUUGAAUGACCACCACUAACAACAAUACAACAUCAAGAGAGGUAGCCAUGCGAUUAAUGGAUGAUUUACUCAAACGGAGAAAUAAUAAUCAGAGACCUCUUUUCUCUCUAUUUAUCUCUUAAUACAGUGAAUCUUCAACAACAAUUACAUAAUUAAGCUAAUGGGAACAUACUUGUACAGUUAUAUACCUCUCAUCAUUACACAUUGAUGCCGACCAAAUCUGAAUCGCUUCUGAAGGAUCUGAGAAGUUUAUCUCCAA